rnacentral:rRNA from 1 species
GCGUGGGAUCUACCGUACCCUACGGAAUAGCUCUGGGAAACUGGAGGUAAUACCGUAUACGCCCGAAAGGGGAAAGAUUUAUCGGGGUAUGAUGAGCCCGCGUUGGAUUAGCUAGUUGGUGGGGUAAAGGCCUACCAAGGCGACGAUCCAUAGCUGGUCUGAGAGGAUGAUCAGCCACAUUGGGACUGAGACACGGCCCAAACUCCUACGGGAGGCAGCAGUGGGGAAUAUUGGACAAUGGGCGCAAGCCUGAUCCAGCCAUGCCGCGUGAGUGAUGAAGGUCUUAGGAUUGUAAAGCUCUUUCACCGAUGAAGAUAAUGACGGUAGUCGGAGAAGAAGCCCCGGCUAACUUCGUGCCAGCAGCCGCGGUAAUACGAAGGGGGCUAGCGUUGUUCGGAAUUACUGGGCGUAAAGCGCACGUAGGCGGGUAUUUAAGUCAGGGGUGAAAUCCCGCAGCUCAACUGCGGAACUGCCUUUGAUACUGGGUAUCUUGAGUAUGGAAGAGGUAAGUGGAAUUGCGAGUGUAGAGGUGAAAUUCGUAGAUAUUCGCAGGAACACCAGUGGCGAAGGCGGCUUACUG